UACCCGCUGAACUUAAGCAUAUCAAUAAGCGGAGGAAAAGAAACUAACAAGGAUUCCCCUAGUAACUGCGAGUGAAGCGGGAAAAGCUCAAAUUUAAAAUCUGGCGGUCUUUGGCCGUCCGAGUUGUAAUCUAGAGAAGUAAUGCCCGUGCUGGACCGUGUAUAAGUCUCCUGGGAUGGGGCGUCAUAGAGGGUGAGAAUCCCGUCUUUGACACGGACUACCAGUGCAUUGUGGUAUGCUCUCAAAGAGUCGAGUUGUUUGGGAAUGCAGCUCAAAAUGGGUGGUAAAUUCCAUCUAAAGCUAAAUAUUGGCGAGAGACCGAUAGCGAACAAGUACCGUGAGGGAAAGAUGAAAAGAACUUUGGAAAGAGAGUUAAACAGUACGUGAAAUUGCUGAAAGGGAAACGCUUGAAGUCAGUCGCGUUGGCCGGGGAUCAGCCUUGCUUUUGCAUGGUGUACUUUCUGGUUGACGGGUCAGCAUCAAUUUUGACCGCUGGAAAAGGGCCUGGGGAAUGUGGCAGCUUCGGCUGUGUUAUAGCCUCUGGUCACAUACGGCGGUUGGGAUUGAGGAACUCAGCACGCCGCAAGGCCGGGUUUCGACCACGUUCGUGCUUAGAUGCCGCCAAAUGA
rnacentral:rRNA from 2 species